rnacentral:rRNA from 1 species
GUGCCAGCCGCCGCGGUAAUACGUAGGAUGCAAGCGUUGUCCGGAUUUACUGGGCGUAAAGCGCGCGCAGGCGGCAUACCAAGUAUUCAGUGAAAUCUCCCUGCUCAACGGGGAGGGUGCUGAGUAGACUGGUAAGCUAGAGGACGGUAGAGGGGGGUAGAAUUGCUGGUGUAGCGGUGAAAUGCGUAGAGAUCAGCAGGAAUACCCGUGGCGAAGGCGGCCCCCUGGGCCGUUUCUGACGCUGAGGCGCGAAGGCUAGGGGAGCGAACGGGAUUAGAUACCCCGGUAGUCCUAGCAGUAAACGAUGGCCACUAGGUGUGAGGGGUGUUGACCCCCCUUGUGCCGAAGCUAACGCAUUAAGUGGCCCGCCUGGGGAGUACGGUCGCAAGACUAAAACUCAAAGGAAUUGACGGGGACCCGCUCAAGCAGCGGAGCGUGUGGUUUAAUUCGAUGCGACGCGAAGAACCUUACCUGGGCUUGACAUGGCAUCGCAACCUCUCGAAAGAGGGGCCUCCUUCGGGACGGUGUCACAGAUGUUGCAUGGCUGUCGUCAGCUCGUGUCGUGAGAUGUUGGGUUAAGUCCCGCAACGAGCGCAACCCUUGUUUCUAGUUGAAUAUCUAGAGAGACUGCCGCACACAAAGCGGAGGAAGGUGGGGAUGACGUCAAGUCAGCAUGACUCUUACGUCCAGGGCUACACACACGCUACAAUGGCAGUUACAGUGAGAAGCCAGCCCGCGAGGGUGAGCAGACCUCCUAAAGGCUGCCUCAGUUCAGAUUGCACUCUGCAACUCGAGUGCAUGAAGUUGGAGUUGCUAGUAACCGCGUGUCAGCAUAGCGCGGUGAAUAUGUUCCCGGGUCUUGUACUCACCGCCCGUC